rnacentral:misc_RNA from 1 species
AACGCACAUUGCACUCCUCUGGAGUAUGCCUGUUUGAGAAUCUAUAGUAUUUAUUCGUCUUGAUUCAUUCGUGAUUGAUAGAAGAGAUAUGAAGCUCCCAUCUUUUGACUGGGUUCUUUUAAAUAGAUUGCUACUAGUAAUAUGAAAAUGCUUGACAUUUCUCUGUAUCUAUUAGAAAAGUAUGUGUAUGAAACUGUGGUUUCUCAUAAUGCCUAUUACAUUAGAGGGGAUUUGGAGUUUUCAUAUGAACAGUUUAGUCCAUACCUAUAAAGGCGAAAGCCUUGAACCAUGGUCUCAAAUCAGGUAGGAAGACCCGCUGAACUUAA